rnacentral:rRNA from 1 species
CCUACGGGAGGCAGCAGUGAGGAAUAUUGGUCAAUGGACGAGAGUCUGAACCAGCCAAGUAGCGUGAAGGAUGACUGCCCUAUGGGUUGUAAACUUCUUUUAUAUGGGAAUAAAAUGUUCCACGUGUGGGAUUUUGUAUGUACCAUAUGAAUAAGGAUCGGCUAACUCCGUGCCAGCAGCCGCGGUAAUACGGAGGAUCCGAGCGUUAUCCGGAUUUAUUGGGUUUAAAGGGAGCGUAGGUGGAUUGUUAAGUCAGUUGUGAAAGUUUGCGGCUCAACCGUAAAAUUGCAGUUGAAACUGGCAGUCUUGAGUACAGUAGAGGCGGGCGGAAUUCGUGGUGUAGCGGUGAAAUGCUUAGAUAUUACGAAGAACUCCGAUUGCGAAGGCAGUUCACUGGACUGCAACUGACACUGAGGCUCGAAAGUGUGGGUAUCAAACAGGAUUAGAUACCCCGGUAGUC